rnacentral:rRNA from 1 species
AGAGAGUGCAAGCGUUAAUCGGAAUAACUGGGCGUAAAGCGCGCGUAGGUGGAUACUUUAGUCGGAUGUGAAAGCCCCAGGCUUAACCUGGGAAUUGCACUCGAUACUGGGUAUCUAGAGUAUAGUAGAGGGAAGUGGAAUUUCCGGUGUAGCGGUGAAAUGCGUAGAUAUCGGAAAGAACACCAGUGGCGAAGGCGGCUUCCUGGACUAAUACUGACACUGAGGUGCGAAAGCGUGGGGGAGCAAACAGGAUUAGAGACCCUGGUAGUCCACGCCGUCAACGAUGAGAACUAGACGUUGGAGGGGCGACCCCCCUUUAGUGUCGAAGCUAACGCGUUAAGUUCUCCGCCUGGGGAUACGGCCGCAAGGUUA